AUUGAACGCUGGCGGCAGGCCUAACACAUGCAAGUCGAACGGUAACAGGAAGCAGCUUGCUGUUUUGCUGACGAGUGGCGGACGGGUGAGUAAUGUCUGGGAAACUGCCUGAUGGAGGGGGAUAACUACUGGAAACGGUAGCUAAUACCGCAUAAUGUCGCAAGACCAAAGAGGGGGACCUUCGGGCCUCUUGCCAUCGGAUGUGCCCAGAUGGGAUUAGCUAGUAGGUGGGGUAACGGCUCACCUAGGCGACGAUCCCUAGCUGGUCUGAGAGGAUGACCAGCCACACGGGAACUGAGACACGGUCCAGACUCCUACGGGAGGCAGCAGUGGGGAACAUUGCACAAUGGGCGCAAGCCUGAUGCAGCCAUGCCGCGUGUAUGAAGAAGGCCUUCGGGUUGUAAAGUACUUUCAGCGGGGAGGAAGGGAGUAAAGUUAAUACCUUUGCUCAUUGACGUUACCCGCAGAAGAAGCACCGGCUAACUCCGUGCCAGCAGCCGCCGUAA
rnacentral:rRNA from 1 species